rnacentral:tRNA from 1 species
GCCGGGAUGGCGGAAUGGCAGACGCGGCGGAUUCAAAAUCCGCUGUUCUUACGAGCGUGUGGGUUCGACUCCCUCUCCCGGCA